CAAACAGCUAUAGAGACCCAGAAAUGCCUGUGGAAAGCUACAGAGGACUUGGGCAAGGCGUUAGAGCCGGACGUUGUGGUCCCUGGGGGAGCCAACCGGGGAGGUGCCUAUGAUCUUUCUUUCCAAAUUUGAGGGUUCAGGGCAAGCAGUUAAGAAGGGAAGAUGAACAUAAAGUAGGGAAGAGCAAGAAUGAAUUGGAACCUAAGACACGAGCUGGUCAUUCUUUCACUGUCUCCAACUUUAAAGAUAUGAGUAUCCUUGCUAGAGGAGCUGACACUCUUUGCCACAGGACUAGACACACACACGGCUCAGGAAUCAAAAAAGGUGAAGGAAGACUCAGGGAAAAGCUUCUGCCCCAUCCCAACAAGGUGAACCAGCUGAUUGGUGACAAAGUAGAUGAGCCGCAGUAGCACCUAGUGUCCCUGCACCACCGUUUCAAGUAUAAAACUGGAGGGAUGCUUCAGUUCUCCCCUUCAAGACUUACACAACCAUGUCUCUGUUGGGCUAUUCUAACCAGAAACAAAAGGAAAGGAAAUUCUGGGAAACAUAGUUUAGCUUAGCAAAGUUGAUACAUUACAAAAUUACCACUGUCCACUCUGCAUCGAGUUGACAUCCAUACAGACCUCUUUAAAACACACUUUCAAAAUAAAGCCCACACCCUACACAUAAGCUAUCUCUAGAGAAAUUUGAAGUCUGUUGUGCACUGAGGAUAACCACAACAACAAACUGUAAACCUAGCCCAAUUUC
rnacentral:lncRNA from 1 species